GAUGAACGCUGGCGGCGUGCCUAAUACAUGCCAGUCGAGCGAACAGACGAGGAGCUUGCUCCUCUGACGUUAGCGGCGGACGGGUGAGUAACACGUGGAUAACCUACCUAUAAGACUGGGAUAACUUCGGGAAACCGGAGCUAAUACCGGAUAAUAUAUUGAACCGCAUGGUUCAAUAGUGAAAGACGGUUUUGCUGUCACUUAUAGAUGGAUCCGCGCCGCAUUAGCUAGUUGGUAAGGUAACGGCUUACCAAGGCGACGAUGCGUAGCCGACCUGAGAGGGUGAUCGGCCACACUGGAACUAGGACACGGUCCAAAACCCUACGGGAGGCAGCAGUAGGGAAUUUUCCGAAAGGGGCGAAAGCCUAACGGGACAACGCCGGGGGAGGGAGGAAGGUCUUCGGAUCGUAAAACUUUUUUAUUGGGGAAGAAAAAAUGUGUAAGUAACUAUGCACGUUUUGACGGUACCAAAGAAGAAAGCCCCGGCAAACUACGU
rnacentral:rRNA from 1 species